CGGGGAGCUGGGACUACAGCUCCCGGCGUGCACCGCGCCGGCAGGAGCUCAGUCACAGUGAUUUAUUUAUGGAAAAACAGAAGGAGACAGUCUUCAAAAUGGCCAAUCAACUGAAGAAGCCAGACUGGGAACAUCUCUAUCUUCCCAUUUGAAAACCUCACCUGUUGCUUGCUCCUACAGAGUACCUGGAAACACUGUGUAAAUGGAUUCUCUUUGAGUUUUCAAGAGGCUUGCUGCUUGCUGGAAGACUGGCUCUGUUUUGCUGUCAUUCCACUCGGGUCUUUGAACUCACACUCAAUUCCAGUCAGGAAAAUAGAUGUCUCUCUAGAAGAGACAUAUCAUGUGUAUGCCUUCACUGGAGGAAAGGCCCAGGCAGAGCUCAGAUGUGACACCAGACACUUUAUGUGGGAGUGGAUCAUUAUGACCUCUCCAAGUGCCAGAGAAGCUGUAAUUGGCAUUUGUACAUUAUUAAGCACCAGAGAAUUUAACUGU